AAAAGAAAUCAGUUCAGCACUAAGUCACUUUGUCUUUAUGGCAAAUGUGAGAUGCAGUGUAUGGAAUGUCAAAUUUCUAGUAUGAGAAAUUAACGAUUUAAGUCCUUCUUAAAUGAGGCCAUUUACCCAUAGAGGGUGCCAGGCCCGUAUAACGUUAAUGAUUACUAGAUGGCAUUUCCAAAGAGUCGUGUUGCUUGAUAGUGCAGCACUAAGUGGGUGGUAAACUCCAUCUAAAACUAAAUAUAACCAUGAGACCGAUAGUAAACAAGUACCGUGAGGGAAAGUUGAAAAGAACUCUGAAUAGAGAGUUAAAUAGUACGUGAAACUGCUUAGAGGUUAAGCCCGAUGAACCUGAAUAUCCAUUAUAGAAAAUUCAUCAUUAUGAUUUUAAUAUUAAUAAUAUUAUAAUAAUGGUGUGCAUUUUUUCUAUAACGGACAUUGUAAUCUAUUAACAUAAAUAUAUUUAUCAUAAGAUCAAUGAUGCGUAAGUUUAUUCAAAUUAUUUUGCUUGCAAUUUAACAUAGAAUAAAUGCUCUUGAUUUGAUAAAGUGUUGAUAGAUUUAUUGUAUAUAGUGCUUAAAUAUUUAUAUUUUAUAAUAGCAUAUUAAUCAUUGAUUUUUAUGUUUAUUAUAUGCACUUAUAUGAUUAACAAUGCGAAAGAUUCAGGAUACCUUCGGGACCCGUCUUGAAACACGGACCAAGGAGUCUAACAUAUUUGCAAGUUAUUGGGUAUCAAAACCUAAUAGCGAAAUUAACAUAACUUUAAUGGGAUUAGUUUUUAGAUUAUUUAUAGUCUAUUAAUUCAAUCCCGGGGCGUUCUAUAUAGUUAUGUAUAAUAAUAUUUAUAUUAUUUAUACCUCUAACUAGAGCGUACCUUGAGCAUAUAUGCUGUGACCCGAAAGAUGGUGAACUAUACUUGAU
rnacentral:rRNA from 1 species